rnacentral:rRNA from 1 species
GAUCAUGGCUCAGGAUGAACGCUAGCUACAGGCUUAACACAUGCAAGUCGCGGGGCAGCAUUUCCUAGCUUGCUAGGGAAGAUGGCGACCGGCGCACGGGUGAGUAACGCGUAUCCAACCUUCCCAUGUCCACGGGAUAGCCCGUCGAAAGGCGGAUUAAUACCGUAUGAGGUCACAUGCGGGCAUCUAACUGUGACGAAAGGUUUAGCGGACAUGGAUGGGGAUGCGUCUGAUUAGUUAGUCGGCGGGGUAACGGCCCACCGAGACGACGAUCAGUAGGGGUUCUGAGAGGAAAGUCCCCCACAUUGGAACUGAGACACGGUCCAAACUCCUACGGGAGGCAGCAGUGAGGAAUAUUGGUCAAUGGGCGGAAGCCUGAACCAGCCAAGUAGCGUGCAGGACGACGGCCCUAUGGGUUGUAAACUGCUUUUAUAAGGGAAUAAAGUGAGUCUCGUGAGGCUUUUUGCAUGUACCUUAUGAAUAAGGACCGGCUAAUUCCGUG